AGCGAACGCUGGCGGCAGGCUUAACGCAUGCAAGUCGAGCGGGCCUUUCGGGGUCAGCGGCGGACGGGUGAGUAACGCGUGGGAACGUGCCCUCUGGUUCGGAAUAACUCAGGGAAACUUGAGCUAAUACCGGAUACGCCCUUUUGGGGAAAGGCUUGCUGCCGGAGGAUCGGCCCGCGUCUGAUUAGCUAGUUGGCGAGGUAACGGCUCACCAAGGCGACGAUCAGUAGCUGGUCUGAGAGGAUGAUCAGCCACACUGGGACUGAGACACGGCCCAGACUCCUACGGGAGGCAGCAGUGGGGAAUAUUGGACAAUGGGCGCAAGCCUGAUCCAGCCAUGCCGCGUGAGUGAUGAAGGCCUUAGGGUUGUAAAGCUCUUUUAUCCGGGACGAUAAUGACGGUACGGGAGGAAUAAGCACCGGCUAACUUCGUG
rnacentral:rRNA from 1 species